rnacentral:rRNA from 1 species
GCAGUCGAGCGGACAGAUGGGAGCUUGCUCCCUGAUGUUAGCGGCGGACGGGUGAGUAACACGUGGGUAACCUGCCUGUAAGACUGGGAUAACUCCGGGAAACCGGGGCUAAUACCGGAUGGUUGUUUGAACCGCAUGGUUCAAACAUAAAAGGUGGCUUCGGCUACCACUUACAGAUGGACCCGCGGCGCAUUAGCUAGUUGGUGAGGUAAUGGCUCACCAAGGCAACGAUGCGUAGCCGACCUGAGAGGGUGAUCGGCCACACUGGGACUGAGACACGGCCCAGACUCCUACGGGAGGCAGCAGUAGGGAAUCUUCCGCAAUGGACGAAAGUCUGACGGAGCAACGCCGCGUGAGUGAUGAAGGUUUUCGGAUCGUAAAGCUCUGUUGUUAGGGAAGAACAAGUACCGUUCGAAUAGGGCGGUACCUUGACGGUACCUAACCAGAAAGCCACGGCUAACUACGUGCCAGCAGCCGCGGUAAUACGUAGGUGGCAAGCGUUGUCCGGAAUUAUUGGGCGUAAAGGGCUCGCAGGCGGUUUCUUAAGUCUGAUGUGAAAGCCCCCGGCUCAACCGGGGAGGGUCAUUGGAAACUGGGGAACUUGAGUGCAGAAGAGGAGAGUGGAAUUCCACGUGUAGCGGUGAAAUGCGUAGAGAUGUGGAGGAACACCAGUGGCGAAGGCGACUCUCUGGUCUGUAACUGACGCUGAGGAGCGAAAGCGUGGGGAGCGAACAGGAUUAGAUACCCUGGUAGUCCACGCCGUAAACGAUGAGUGCUAAGUGUUAGGGGGUUUCCGCCCCUUAGUGCUGCAGCUAACGCAUUAAGCACUCCGCCUGGGGAGUACGGUCGCAAGACUGAAACUCAAAGGAAUUGACGGGGGCCCGCACAAGCGG